CGUCUAUGUUUUUAAUGACUACCGGAUGGAGGAGUGUGCCCCUGGAGGCUGUUUAAUAGAGUUGUGUAUUCAGCUCAGCAUCAUCAUGGUGGGGAAACAACUCAUUCAGAACAAUGUCUUUGAGAUCGGCAUCCCUAAGUUGAAGAAGUUGAUCCGAGCAUGGAAGGGUAAGGGGAUUUCAUUG